UACGUAGGGCGCAAGCGUUGUCCGGAAUUAUUGGGCGUAAAGAGCUCGUAGGCGGACUGUCACGUCUGCUGUGAAAAGCUAGGGCUUAACCCUGGCCUUGCAGUGGAUACGGGCAGACUAGAGGUAGGUAGGGGAGAAUGGAAUUCCCGGUGUAGCGGUGAAAUGCGCAGAUAUCGGGAGGAACACCGGUGGCGAAGGCGGUUCUCUGGGCCUUACCUGACGCUGAGGAGCGAAAGCGUGGGGAGCGAACAGG
rnacentral:rRNA from 1 species